rnacentral:misc_RNA from 1 species
AAAAAAUUGUAUUUUGGGUUGUUAGUUUUGAUCAUAGCAAAAGCUUUUGAAUUUUAUGUGGUGUUGCUUCUUGUUGUGGAGGAAUGUGAUUAUCGAAUUUUCUCUUUCGUUCAAACACUGUAACAUACAUGUCAAUGCUUCUUUCUAUAUUUUUUUUGUCGUGUUAUUAUUUUAAAUUUUCUAUUUUUUCUUUUCAUAGGAUUAACUUUG